UCCCAGUGAGAUCACAUUCUCUAAGGCUACGCAGCAGUUUCAGCACACCGAGACCCCCCUUCCCCCCCUGCACGCGCUCAAGACACUUUUGACUUUGUUCAACUCAGGACCAAGACGUCCCAACUGCAGAUAGAAGCUAUUCGUGCCUUUGGAAACAGCCCGGGGCUCACACGAGUCCACCGCCCCGGACUACAUAUCCCAGAAGUCAUUGUUGCCGCUUAAUUAGCAGCGGUUCAAAGCAGGCGGAGGACAGGAACAGGACAAGCACCCUUGACACCAACCAGCAGCACCACACGCAGCAGACAUGUCGGACGCCGAGACCGCCGCCGCCCCCGCCGAGGUCCCCGUCCCCGCUGGUUGUGCCGGCAUCAAGGCUGAGCUGGACAAAUGUGUGGCAGAGAACGGAGCCGAGGGCUGCAAGGAUCUGAUGGAGGCCUUUGCUGCUUGUGUGAAGAGUGCAGCCGAGGGGACGUCCUGAGGAGCCGCCCUCCAACCUCCAAUGGGAGGUCCACUGCACCGAGUCCUCCAAGUUCCCGGCAUUCCCUUCUUUCACAGCAGCACUGUACUGAAUGUUGACGACGACGACGAUGAUGAUGAUAAUCAUUGUGUGACUAAAGUGUUGAAAUGGGCUGAAUUUGGAAAGUGGUGGCAGUAACUACAGUCCCCCCCCCCCCCCCCCCCAUAAACCCCGUACCCCGCUAUAGGUCUGUCUGGUGUCCCUCAGUCUUACCGUCAUUCCCCUUUUCUCCCCCUGCGGCUGAAAUGCAGCACAUCGACUUGUAGACAAUUCCAGAGCUGAGCUGUAAUGUAAGUUGUCGACUCGAGAUGAAUACUUAUAAAUGGAAAUAAAAGUAUCAAAUACUUGGUAUAAAAAACUGA